ensembl:lncRNA
GGUAAUGACAGUACAUCAGAGCUGAAGUGCAGGGCUACGGAAAACAUUCAGACUUCUUUUUUCCCAGCUGGAAUACACAAAGCUUUCUGAAAGGACCCUCUGGGUGGCAUUUCUCUAAUGAACAGUGAACUUGCUUUCCUAAGCUGUGUCAGAUUGUUACAAAGAAGACAAAGGAACUGUGCAUGCCUGGAUAUAAACUGACUCAGAUACUUCUCCAAAUAAUUAAGAGAGUUAACUAUUCACAGAUGGGCUCCUCCUUCUGUAACUUGACUCUGGAAUUCCUCCUGUAUGGCUGAAU